rnacentral:lncRNA from 1 species
AAGCAAUUCGAGGCUUAAUCAAUUGGCGAAUUAAAUUUGCGACUGCCACCAGCUUCACCUCCUCCUCCAGCUAUCCGCCGAACUAGGCCAAGUAUUCAAUGUGCAUCGAUUGGCUUUGUCGCUGGCAUUUGUUCUAGCUCUAGCUCCAACCACAUGCUGUCAUGGCAGCUUCCGGCCUGGCCACACGUCCCGUGCGUGUUGCCAAAAAACGGAAAUGCACAAAUCAUGGACCGCAUGCCUUUUGUUGGAACAGAGAGCAGCCAGCCAGAGCGGAAAUAAAUGCGAAACAUAUGCGUGAGCUGCGGGCAGAGACGGUGACAGUAGCCACAUGGCCACACACCCAAGCAUGGAUACGCUGCAGUUUUAAUUAGUAUAACACCCAAAGAUGAGCAAGCAGUCGGACGUACCUUCCCAGGCGUCUUGCUCCUGGGUAGAGUAGAGCACAACGAGGAAUAUGGUAUAUGGAAUAUGGAAUAUGGAAACUGUGGCGCGGGCAAACAAAACACGCAAACCGAAGCGAAAUUCACUGCUGACACACAGACACAGACACAUGCAGGCUGUGUGGCAUCCGCAGAGAGACAGGGAAAAAGUGAGUGCAAGAGUGCAGGAGGAAUGUUUACACAUGUUAUGGCCAGAACGGCUCCAGUUGCAUCUGGC